rnacentral:rRNA from 1 species
AACGAACGUUGGCGGCGUGGAUUAGGCAUGCAAGUUGAGCGUACUCCGCAAGGAGAAGCAGCGUAAGGGGCAGUAAGGCAUGGGUACCUACCUCGGGUUCGGGUAUAGCCUGUAGAGAUACAGGGUAAUCCCCGAUGAUGUCGUAAGACCAAAGCUCCGGCGACCGGAGAGGGGCCCAUGUGAUAUUAGCUAGUUGGUGGGGUAACGGCCCACCAAGGCGAAGAUGUCUAGCGGGUGUGAGAGCACGACCCGCGCCACUGGCACUGAGACACUGGCCAGACACCUACGGGUGGCUGCAGUCGAGGAUCUUCGGCAAUGGGCGCAAGCCUGACCGAGCGACGCCGCGUGUGCGACGAAGGCCUUCGGGUUGUAAAGCACUGUCGAGGGGGAGAAAACCGCAAGGUUGAUCUAUCCCUGGAGGAAGCACGGGCUAAGUUCGUG